AGUGAACGCUGGCGGCAGGCCUAACACGUGCAAGUCGAACGGCAGCACAGUAAUAGCUUGCUCUUAUCGGUUGCGAGUCGCGGACGUGUCAGGUAUACAUCGGAAUCUACUUUUUCGUGGGGGAUAACGUAGGGAAACUUACUCCAAUAUCGCAUACGAUCCACGGGUGAAAGCAGGGGAUCUUCUCACCUUGCGCGAUUGAAUGAGCCGAUGUCCGAUUAGCUAGUCGGGUGGAUAAAUGCCCACCCAGUCGACGCUCCCUAGCUUGUCUGAGAGGAUGAUCAGCCACACUGGAACGGAACCGCGGUCCAGACUCCUAAGGGAGGCAGCAGUGGGCUAUAUUGGACAAUGGUCGCGAACCUGACACAGCCGGACCGCGUGAGUGAAGAAGGCCUUCGGGUGGUAAAGCCCUUUUGUUGGGAAAAAAAAGCAGCCGGUUGAUACCACGCUGUUCUGACGGUACCUGAAGAAUAAGCACCGGCUAACUUCGUG
rnacentral:rRNA from 1 species